GGAGCCCUGUGUCCUUGAUUUGGCUUUUCAAAUAUGCCUCCGCUGAGGCCUCAUUCUUGUCUCGAGAGCUGGGUUAUGCACACUCACCCAGCCGUGCUCAAAACUACCACCAGUGCAGGUAAGACAGGUGGGAGAACUAGCCACCAAGGCGGGACUCAGUGCACCUGAGGUUGAACAGGGAGACAACGGCCCCUCCCUGUGUUCCCUGCUGGCCAAAGGAAUCUUCACUCCCAGCGCAGAGGAGGAGGGCAACAGCUUCCUGGUGCCUGGCAGUGACGUGGCGAGCUCAGUUUCUCAGCUGGCUCUUGAGUGAGCUUUGGUGACUUCCUGUGGCUGGGGCCUGCCUGGUCUGUGACACCCCCAUACCAGCUGAGUUCACAAUACUGAAGAACAGCUGGCUCACGAGCUAUGACUUGAAGUUACAUUUCUAUUCUUGUGGCUGCUCAUCUAGUUAAGGCUUUUGCCCUGGCUGGGGUUAUAGGUGCUUGAGUCCUUGCUAAGCCUGGCUCCUGGGUAGCCUCCUUCAGUUCCUAAUGGCCUCUCACUUGGCCCUCACUUUGGCUCUUACUUGAGGAGGAGACGUGACUUUGAUAAUUUCCUCAGAUCCUGUGGACAUUUUCAGCAGCACCUGCCAAGGCCCUCUGUGAAAGGAGGAGAGACUGGUACCUCCACACAGGCACACAUGGAUGCACAGCCCCUGGACCAGGCUGGGGGUUCCUGUUGCACAUGCCUCUCUUGUUCAGGAUGAAGACCUUGCAGGGGUCCCCUUGCUGGAGGCAUUGUACUUCCCCAGAGUGGGGCCCGAUGCCACCCAGGAGGAAGUGACUUCUUUCGGGAAGCCCUUGGCCACUUUGCUGGCCCUGCCACGCCCAUCUGUCAGCUUCCUUUCUCCCUAAACCUAGAGUUGCUGACCCUUCACCAACACAGGAAAUUUCAGAAUCAGCUGAAUGCUCAGAAACCUCGCCUGUGCCAGCUCCAGGACAAAGGCCCGCUGACUGUGCCCUGGCCAACUCCCUGAGACCUCCAAGGGCGAGGAGGAGCUGCCCAGUCUCCAGUGGAUCAGGGCAGUCUGCUGGAUGCUGGAAGGAUUUUUGACUGCAGAGGCCCGGCUGAGAAGCCAAACUGACCUGAGCCCCUCUCGUUAAAAUGACAUUGCUGACCCAAGCACCUGGCCCACACCUUGGCAGCAGGAGAAAAAUGGGGAGAGGGCUGGUUUUCUCCUUUCUUCCACUUCCCCACAGCAUGGAGAUUUUCUCUGCCUUCCCAAUCCAUCUUGCUCCUCCGAGACCCCAACUCUGCCUCCACCCAGGCUCAGUGCUGGGCGUAAGGCAGCAGGGACCUCACUGGCAGAGCAGGGGGCCUGGGAGCAACGUGGAGGCCAGAGCACCCUGAUCCACCAACAUGCCACCUGCAUUCUGACUUCAUGGCUGGCAGUGCCAGGGUCGUGGGAGGGCAAAGGGCAGGCUCUAAGGCAUCUAGGCAGUGGCUGGCUGCUAACAUGGACACCCCAAGUCAAUGGCACAGUGCAGGUUCUGAGGGCUCCUUGGCUUGUGGGGUCUUCUCUGUCUGUCUCUCUCCCUCUCUUCUUCCUUGCUCUCAUCCCUUUCUUUUCCAGUUACCCCUGAAGACCCACCUCGGCCCUCUUGGGGCCCCUGGGGACUAGAGUGACCACUGACCCCUCAUUCUACAGCUUUAAGGGAAAUGCUCACAGGGUAUUUUUGUCUACCUCAAAUAUAUAGUUUUUAGAGCAAAGGAGAAUAAUUUAUAUAGCUAAGAUAUAUGAGAAAGUAUUUAUAUUAUUUAUAUAGUUGCUAUAUUUCACAGACAGCACAGGUGGGGUUUGUGUAUUUUCCCGGAAACCCUCUGUCUGGGGAGAUACAGCCUGACCUGACCGGGUCCCCCACUGAGCAGGAGGCCGGGUCGCUGGGAAGGAGGACAAACCUGUAUUCCAUGACUGGGUCUGUCUCGGAGCUGGUAAGCACAUGUCCGCUCUGUGAUGAGCCCUGGUGGGCUCCAUCCAGACCCUCCUUGUGAUGUUUUUGUAGAUUUUCUGCCCUUCUGGGUCCAGGCCCCCUUCUUCUGCUCUGGCAAAAGUGUCUUACUCAUAAUGAUAAUGACAACGAGAAUUCCCACACCUGGCAUUUGUAAAGCACUUUGCUAUUUAGAAACAAAAACUUUUACCCCUUUCAUCUCACUUGAUUUCUCCGUUAUCUCUGUGAGGUAGGUGGGGCCACAUUACUGUGGCCAUUUUAUAGAUGAGGUCCAGAGAUGGAGAGCUGUGCUCAAAGUCACACCUAAGAGACUUGUUCAAUGAAUAUUUACUGAACAUCUCCAUAGACCAGGCACUACGGGCUGACCUGCUCUGAGCCCAGGAGCCCCAAAGCCUGGAUACCACUGUGAGCCCAAGAACUCAGGGAAGCAGUUCCUUCCCAGGCUGUGAUCCCAGCCUUUUGGAUCUGGAUGGCAUGUUGGCACUUCCCCCAAGUGGAGUCCCAUGUCUCAGGGGCUUUGGCUGCCUGAGAAGGCUGGAGAGACCAGGAACCCAUGGAGGCCACUCCAAGGGGUCCUUCUGCCCACACUGCCCAAGAAGCUUGGGCUACACCACUGGGCCCCUCCCAACCUACAGAUGAAUUUUGAUUGCUCUCAUUUGUGUUUUGCUUGUAAAAAUGAAUUGUUUUCCACUGGAUUUCUGGCUGCUUUUGCAAAAGUCAGCUGCGCUGGCAGACUGGGCCUGCAUGUCCUCCUGCAGGCAGCUAGAGUGAGGGAGUCUAAUGGACAGGAUGCCCCAAGUGCCCCCGUUGCUCAUGGAUGCCCCUGCCUGCCUCUCAUGAGCACAUAGUCCUGUCCCCUGGUCUAGAUAAGCCCAGCUUUCCUGGUACCCUUCAUCACCUGGCAGACAGACAGCCCCAUGCCAACCCUGGACAUUACUUGCUUUUGAACCUUUCCUUUCUCAACAACCAUGAACUUCAAAUGCUUUCUGUCUCAGGACACUUUAGAAUAACAAUGGAAGCCAUCACUUAUUGAGCACCCCUUAUGUCCAUUUAUUCAACCAAUGAUUAUUUAGGGAUCUCUUAUUGAGCACCAGGCAGCAUCCUGGGUGCUUGGUGCAGCAAGGAACAGGACCAAGUCUCUGCCUCAUGGGGCUGACAUCCUAGUGGGUGAGAAAGACAAUAAACCAAUAAAUGACAUGCCAGUUAUUUGCAUUUACUUUGUCUCAAUUUAUUGCAAUAACUUUGCACAUUGGACAUGGUCCCCGUAAUGGAUAAGGAAAUGGAGGUUGUGAGAUGAGAAGCCUCCUCAUUGCAACUGGCAGGCAGUGGGGCCAGGAUUGGAACACAGAUCUCCUGGCCUCCAAAGUAUGGGAUUUUUUUCCUCUGUACACUGGUAUAGG
rnacentral:lncRNA from 10 species